rnacentral:rRNA from 1 species
CAGGACUUGACAUCCAGCGAACUUUCCAGAGAUGGAUUGGUGCCUUCGGGAACGCUGUGACAGGUGCUGCAUGGCUGCCGUCAGCUCGUGUCGUGAGAUGUUGGGUUAAGUCCCGUAACGAGCGCAACCCUUGUCCUUAGUUACCAGCACCUCGGGUGGGCACUCUAAGGAGACUGCCGGCGACAAACCGGAGGAAGGUGGGGAUGACGUCAAGUCAUCAUGGCCCUUACGGCCAGGGCUACACACGUGCUACAAUGGUCGGUACAGAGGGUUGCCAAGCCGCGAGGUGGAGCUAAUCUCACAAAACCGAUCGUAGUCCGGAUUGGAGUCUGCAACUCGACUCCAUGAAGUCGGAAUCGCUAGUAAUCGUGAAUCAGAAUGUCACGGUGAAUA